UACGUAGGUGGCAAGCGUUGUCCGGAUUUACUGGGCGUAAAGAGCGCGCAGGCGGUCGUUCAAGUCGCGUGUGAAAGCCCCCGGCUCAACUGGGGAGGGUCACGCGAUACUGAUCGACUCGAAGGCAGGAGAGGGUAGUGGAAUUCCCGGUGUAGUGGUGAAAUGCGUAGAUAUCGGGAGGAACACCAGUGGCGAAGGCGGCUUUCUGGUCUGUAACUGACGCUGAGGCGCGACAGCGUGGGGAGCAAACAGG
rnacentral:rRNA from 1 species